AAACUGGAGAGUUUGAUCCUGGCUCAGAUUGAACGCUGGCGGUAGGCCUAACACAUGCAAGUCGAACGGCAGCAGACCGUGACAAUCCCUUCGGGGUGCGUUUGGUGCUGGCGAGUGGCGGACGGGUGAGUAACACGUAGGAAUCUGCCAAACAGUGGGGGACAACCCGGAGAAAUCCGGGCUAAUACCGCAUACGCCCUACGGGGGAAAGCGGGGGACCUUCGGGCCUCGCGCUGUUUGAGGAGCCUGCGUCGGAUUAGCUUGUUGGUGAGGUAAAGGCUCACCAAGGCAACGAUCCGUAGCUGGUCUGAGAGGAUGAUCAGCCACACUGGGACUGAGACACGGCCCAGACUCCUACGGGAGGCAGCAGUGGGGAAUAUUGCAC
rnacentral:rRNA from 1 species